UACAUAGGGGGCAAGCGUUAUCCGGAAUUAUUGGGCGUAAAGGGUGCGUAGGCGGCCUAUUAAGUUUAAGGUGUAAGUGCAAGGCUCAACCUUGUGAUGCUUUAGAAACUGGUAGGCUAGAGGACAGUAGAGGCAAGUGGAAUUCCAUGUGUAGCGGUAAAAUGCGUAAAUAUAUGGAGGAACACCAGUGGCGAAGGCGACUUGCUGGGCUGUGACUGACGCUGAGGCACGAAAGCGUGGGGAGCAAACAGG
rnacentral:rRNA from 1 species